rnacentral:rRNA from 1 species
UACAGAGGGUGCGAGCGUUGUCCGGAAUCACUGGGCGUAAAGGGCGCGUAGGCGGUGCGGUAAGUCACCUGUGAAAACUCUGGGCUCAACUCAGAGCCUGCAGGCGAAACUGCCGUGCUUGAGUGUGGGAGAGGUGCGUGGAAUUCCCGGUGUAGCGGUGAAAUGCGUAGAUAUCGAGAGGAACACCUGCGGCGAAGGCGGGUUGCUGGGCUGACACUGACGCUGAGGCGCGAAAGCCAGGGGAGCGAACGGG